rnacentral:rRNA from 1 species
UACGAAGGGGGCUAGCGUUGCUCGGAAUCACUGGGCGUAAAGGGUGCGUAGGCGGGGCUUUAAGUCAGGGGUGAAAUCCUGGAGCUCAACUCCAGAACUGCCUUUGAUACUGAGGAUCUUGAGUUCGGGAGAGGUGAGUGGAACUGCGAGUGUAGAGGUGAAAUUCGUAGAUAUCGGGAGGAACACCAGUGGCGAAGGCGGCGACCUGGGCCAAUAUUGACGCUGAGGUGCGAAAGCGUGGGGAGCAAACAGG